AAAAUAAGUGGGCCCGCGUCUCCCCUGUGACCCCCGCCUCCUCUCCUGUCGCCGCCGCCGCGCCCUCCCCACCCGUACGCGACCCACCCUCCUCCUCGACCUCCCUCCUAGCCGCCGCUGCCUCUCCUUCUCUUCCUCCUCUCUCUCCUGCUCCGCCGUCCUCCCCCAUCCACCCAUGCCGCACUCCUAUCCUGUAUCCCGCUGGAUCCAAGGCUUCUUCGACGGCGAUGAUGACCUAUAGGCGAAGGGCGACGACGCAGAGGAGAGGGAGGUGCAGCAGCAUACGGGAGAGGGUCACCAGCCAGCGUCGGCCUGUGCUGGUGAGGUCGGGCUCCACCAUUCCUGUCCGCCGUCCUUACGCGUCACCGGUGCUGCAGUUGCGUGGGGCGUGAGGAAAGCAAGGAGAGGGAGGGGAUGAGUGGGAGGCGCGAGGACGGAGGCGCUCCGGCGGCCGGGCUCGCCAGCCAUGCGGUGCUGGUCGUGGAGGACUCCAGAUCCCCUUUUGCUCGCUGCCACCACGGCCUUGCUCGCCAUCGACCUCCCCAGGCGAUUCUCUCCCCAAAUUGUGCCUACAUGGCCAAAUUGAUUCAAGCCCCAGGUGAAGACACCUCCCUCACUGUCCAAGCGUGCUUCUCUACAUGGGCGACGUCACCACGACCAGUUUGCUGAUUCAAGCCAAGGGUUGCAUUAGAUCUUCACGAAUCAUAUCUAUUAUUUUGAGGAGCACUCAAACAAUUGUAUUGCAAAACAGUAUGCCUUUGUUUGACGUGCAGAUCUGGAUUGUAGAAUUGCAUGCUUGAGUUGAGGCUUGUGAUUGGCCUUUGUGAUGCGCAGGUGUAUUCACCUCAUCAUACCAUCCGUUCUAAUCAAGGCCACAGUCACUGCCCGGUAGGAGAUGUCGGGGUUGUUAUUGACUGGGAGGAGACAAGGAGCAGGAGGCAGCAGGAGAGGUAGUAAGCACCUUAACAAUGACAACCGUCACCCGGCUUAUUUGGUUAUCCUUCAUAUGCCGCAUAGGCUUGUUUGUGGGAAUUGACAUGCAUUGCUGUUCCAUUUUACUGAUUUAUUUGAUAAAUACAUGACCAUACGGGUAACCUCUUGUUUGUUUUAGCACUAUCGGACAACACAUUCCUAUUUAACAGGGAAUUGCUUAUCUAUGAUUCAGGCUAGAACAAUUGUUUUCUACUAACGACCGAAGUUCUACUGUAUGCUUCAGAUUUGCGUAGCGCAUACUGCUCUCUGAACAAGGUGUUGAUGUCUUCACAAAAAUUGCUCAAAAUCAACUAUGUGUUGUGGAGAAUGAUAUAUACAUUUAUAGAGUAUGUCCUGCUCGAGAACGGCGGCAAUGGAUGCCAGUGCUCCUCUUCAUCUUUCCCGACCUGCAAGGACGUAAGCAUCCAGUACGGGACUGCACCAGCACCGGUGGCGGUGUCCAGGGCGCCAGCUCGUCAUCGUCCACACCACACUGGAGCAGACACGCCUCUGUACAGCUCUCACGCCCGCAGGAAAAGUUCAAGAUCAUACGACGAUGCUGUUGUUUUUGACCUCCAAGGACGCGUGCCGGCAUCCGGGUACGCAAGCAACCAAUACAACCACGACAUGGUGCAGUCGGCCUUCUCUGAUGAGCUUCCGCCCCUGCACCAACAGCAUCACCGCGCUGGCUGCUGCAACAUUGAGUUCAACAGCGGUGCAACGCUAUUGUUGCUUUGGAAAUGCUAUUGGAUCUUAUAAAGAUUUUUGGACCUAUUAUUCAUUUAACAUUGUUAGCUAGCUCACUCGUUGGAGUAGAUCUUCAAGCCGGAAAGAGCUAUGCUCCCCAAAUUUACUCAGAGAAGGGAGCUGGGUGUUGCUAAGAGAGAUGUUGUCAAAACUUGUGUUGCUACAAGCCUACCAAGGAACUCAGUGCGAGGUGGCAAGUUGGACACAAACUUAUGUUUUGCCGAAACUGUUGCCCCGAAACGAACCGCAUAAUUACUGCAGUCAUCAGUAGCAUAUUUACUCUAGCUGCAACCUAAUUCUCAUAUCCCAUUAAGCUCAUGUGCAUAAAUCAACUAGGUUGAAGAGUGUUAUCAAUUUCCUGAAGAAGACCAGUUGAGAUAUUAUAUGCAUGGUGUGGAUUGUUGAGUUUGCUUGGUUAUUGGAAUGCCAUGCCUGUGUAGAUCAGCGGGGGCUGAGUCCAGGGUGAGACCUUCAAGAUGGAUUUGUUGUUACCGUUAUUUCAGUUUGCGGGUAGAGGAUAUGAUUCCAGCAAGACCGAGACAACGAUGAUGAAAGGUGAGAUUUCUGUUAAGGAAUAUUAGCAAAUGUUCACAGGAUCACUGGAAGCAUAUAAAGGUAUCCACAAGGAUAGUUGCUUUCUUAUCGACUCAGAAUUAAAUUAUAGUUAUAGACAGUCAAGAGUAGUUGUCUUUUCAUUUGUUCGAAAACACAGUGUACCUUUUGUGAUCGUAGUUGUAUGCAAUGAUCCAUCAUGUAUUUUUUUCUAAACCACAACCCCUAAUUGUUUGAUGUCAUGAAAUGUCUAUGUUUUUU